UCCUGGCAGGAGGAGGCUGCGGCCCCAUUGGAUGGGCGCCCGAGAAGGGAUGGGUGGGUCCUCGAAGGUAAGGCCGAGCCUCCUUUCGGACGGAAAAGGCUGGAGGAGGCCGCGCCCUUUGUUUGCUCUGGUAGCGCGGGGGCCCGUUGGGCAGCACCUGUGCUCUUGAUCCCGAGGUGAGCCUUUGAGAGUGAGCCGAGGAGAAGGGAGCUCGUACCUCCCCCGCCAGCGCCCUCUCUUCUGCGGCUCCCUCUUACAGUUGGCUUCUCCCCGCUCUUGGGUGGCCUUCUGCCCCCGUACAACCAGGUGGAUCCGCUUCCACUCCGGCCCCACUCCCACCCAGGAAACUUUUCAUCUCCGUAAGGCCCUCCUUGGGCCCAUGGGAAUGUUCUUCAGAAGCACUCGCCCUUUCACACAGCUCCCUCGUUGCUGGCUUCCUGUGAAAGGAGAUCCCAUACCGUCCCUUUCCAGAACUCGGAGAGAACCAGAGACCGCGUUGCUGGGGCUUCAAACGGAGGCCGGAAAGCUCAGCUUAAAAGCUGUCCGUGAAGAGGGCUUGGUCUCCUAGAACAGACCCAGUUUUCCUACAAUUCAAAUAGAAGGAGCUCCACCCAGUGGCCACUAAGGGUACUCUCGGCACUUCCAGCGUAAAAUUCGCUUCCAUACCCCUCACCACCACACGGCGGCGCAGUUGUCUACCACCGUCUCUAAGAGGGCGUUGCCGUGCCAAUCCCGACGGGAACAGCCCGCCUGCUGGGCGCUGUAUUUCUCCUGCACACCUGUGAGAGCCGCUCAUGCAUCACCUCUCUCUGGUUUGUUUCAAUAACAAAUAACGAAAAUCAUUAAAUUGACUUAAUGAAGCAAGGAGAAGGGAAAAGAAGCAGACCGGUGGUUAGGUCUGGAACCCUGGAACCCUGAACCCUGGACAAAAUCCAUACUUGCUGAUGGCCUUUACGCAGGGCAACCCCCUGGUGUCCCAGACCCUCUUUAGGAAGCUGGGGAUACUAAUACGUGUCCUCCUGGCCUCCAGGAAUGAUUACAGGACCCGAUGUCUAGUACGUGCUCAGCACAGAGUCUACCAAAGAGUGGUUACCGUCAUUUCUGCUUGAGCCUAACAUAGGCCUUGGUAAGUGUACAUCGUGCUCCCCUCGGUUCUUCUGGGAAAUACAAGAGUAACCGCCCCCAUGUCGGGUGCUGCUUUCUGCAGCGUUGGCUGCCCAUGGCCAAGAGGAGCAGGCGUUCACGUGACUUUUAUUACAGUAUCUUGUUAUAAUCGUUACAUUAUUACUGUUCAUCUUACUGCCUAAUGUAUAAAUUAAACGUUAUCACAGGUAUGCAUGUGUAGGAAAAACACAAUAUACAGAGGAUUCAGUACGAUCUGUGGUUUCGGGCCUCCAUGGGGGUCCUGAAACAUAUCCCCUGCAGAUAAAGGGAACUUUUUUUUUUUUUUUUUUUUUGAGAGAGAGAGAGAGAGAGAAUGAGCAAGAGAGCACAAGCCAGGACCAGAGGCAGAGGAGGAAGCAGACUCCCCACUGAGCAGGGAGCCUGAUUUGAGGCUCCAUCCCAAGGACCCCAAAAUCAUGACCUGAAGGCAGAUACUCAACUGACUGAGGCACCCAGGCACCCCAGGGGGACUCUUGAGUUAUAGAUUAGCACUUUGGCCCAAAAAUCCCUCAGGCAGACAUGGAGGUUUUCUGAACCAGGCUCCCCCCCCCCCCCACCUCUCACCAUCUGAGGAGAGGAGCCCUCGUUCCUGCUUCGUAAACUCCAUCUGCACUAAAUAUGAUUUUCAGGAAAUGCUUUGGGAAGGUGUGUGAUGGGGCUGCUGGAACAGAAGUUUCAGAGCCAAACACUUGGGUUCCCAUCCUGGACCAGGGACUGUAGACAAAGGGUUGCAUUUCUCUGAGCCUCUGUUUCAUCCCUUGUUGUGUAAAAGGAGUUGGAUGUGAGAUCAGAUGAAGUAAGGACCAUUCCCAGCAGGACCUCAGGCAUACUCAGUAGUGAAUGUUCUUAUCUUAACCGAUAGUAUUUAAAUUCCUAUCUUCUGAGAGUUAAUGGGGCUUGAAACAUUGAAACAUGGUAAGAAAUUUUCCUCCCUUCUGCUAUGAAAUCUCGAAGCAGAAGCCAACUCGACUAAGUAAGGCAGCUGUUUAGAAUGUCAUGUGGGGGUGCCUGGGUGGCUCAGUGGGUUAAAGCCUCUGCCUUUGGUUCAGGUCAUGAUCCCAGGGUCCUGGGAUUGAGCCCUACAUCGGGCUCUCUGCUCAGCAGGGAGCCUGCUUCCCCCCGCCUCUCUGCCUACUUAUAAUCUCUGUCUGUCAAAUAAAUACAUAAAUAUCAUGUGUCUGGAGAGCAAGUUGCAGUGUUAACAAUGAGCAGAGCCUUGACUCAAGGAAUGAAGGUCAAGCAGAAUUCUGUUCCAUUCAGCCUAGUGCAGGCCUAGCCCAUGGAACAGCCCUCGUGAAAUUACACCUCUUCCAACCAUGCCAUGGCUCUGCAAGGAUUCCACUUAAGCAUUUUUUUUUAAUAUUUUUUUAUUUAUUUGGGGGGGUGCAGAGGGAGAAGCAGACUUCUCCCUGAGUGAGCUGGGUGGGGAGCCCAACAUGGUGCUAGAUCCUAGGACCUGGAGAUCAUGACCUGAGCCACUGAGCCAUCCAGGUGCCCGCCACUUAAGUACUUGAGUCAAGGGCCCCAAACAAUCAAAACAAGAGAGAAAUUAAAGAGCAAAAUCAUCCCUGUGACUGGGGUUUUGAAGAACAUAUAAUGACAGGAAAAAAUGAUCACAUAAAAUGAAAAAAAGACAGGAAAAUUAUUGUAAUCUAAAAAUAAUUUUAAAAUAAGUUAAUCAAGAGAAAGAAUCUUAUAUGUAAUAUAUUCCUGAUUUUAUGGAAAAUAUAUUUGCAUGAAUAUUAUUGAAAGAAAGAUAUCAAAAUAUGAAUAAUUAUCUCAGUCUGGAUGAUGGGAUUAGGAAUGAUUUCUUCUUUAUCUUUGUCCUGUACGCUUCAGUAUUUCCUACCACUAGAAUGUACUCAUUUGUAAUCAAAGAAGUGCAUUAUGAUCAACGAUGAUUAAUGAUGAUGUGGUAAUGUGCUUAGUAUAAUGAUAAAUGAAAAAUUAAUGGGAAAAAAGCCUUUAUACUGUUAAAAACAACACAACAGGCCCCAAAUGGAGGCCCUUAUGCUAAACCCCAUGUCACCAAAUUGAGAUUUAUUUACAGUUUCAGCCUCUCACAGAAGUGGAGUCUUAACCGGGUCACUCAGGAAUCACCUCGUCAGGGCUAGUGAGGUCACCUGCCGGAUAGACCCCGGCCAUGCCCUAAAGGAGAGUGAUCUUGCUGUAACCAGUUCACUUGUUGCCCAAUUAACUUCCCUGUUCCUGCUCUUCUGCCUGCAAGAGCCCUUCAUUUUGUACAGCUCCCCAGAGCUCCUUUCUGUCUGCUAGCUGGGAUGUGGCCCAAUUCGUGAAUCGUUGGAUAAAGGCAAUAGAUCAUCAAAAUUUACUCAGUUGAAUUUUGUUUUUCACCAAUACCGUGUGACCACAAACGUGUGUGCGUGCGGGUGCGUUUGGGACAUAUUAAAGCCUUUUCCGUUACUUCUGCACUGAGUAGUGGAACAUGAGCAGUCUGUAACCAGAAUAAAGAAUCACAAAGU